GAUGAAGAACGUAGCGAAAUGCGAUAAGUAAUGUGAAUUGCAGAAUUCAGUGAAUCAUCGAAUCUUUGAACGCAUCUUGCGCUCCUUGGUAUUCCGAGGAGCAUGCCUGUUUGAGUGUCAUUUAACUUCUCAACCACAUUGGAUAUUUUUUUUUCCGAUGCCGGCUUGGAUGUGGGGGUUGUUUGCAGGCUUUUUGUAACAAAAAAGGUCGGCUCCCCUGAAAUGUAUUAGUGGUAUCUGAGGCUAUUACUAUUAGGUGUGAUAAUUAUCUAUGCCUUUUGGGUAUGCCGCAUGAACAGAUUAUGCUGCUUCUAACGAAAACUAUUUUGAUGAAUUUGACCUCAAAUCAGGUAGGACUACCCGCUGAACUUAAGCAUAUCAAUAAGCGGAGGA
rnacentral:misc_RNA from 1 species